GGGAAUCCCAGAUCCACAAGCAAAUCAUCACGCCCUGCAAACUACAUCAUCAGCAUCUUCCUCUGGAAAACAUCAUCAUGUUAAUCCAUUUGUCCUGGCAGCCAGAUGAUUGAGUGCCAGGCUGGGCUUCCUGUUGGACUGGCAAAGGACACACCUGCCCAGUGGGUUUCUGCCGGGAUGGGGGAUCCUGUUAUCAACCGGGACAAAGGGAGCACAGGAAUCUGGAGCUGGUGGAUUCCUUUCCCCAAACAUGUGGCCAGACCUGUAAAUCCAGCUGCCUGUUUUUUUCUGUUUACUGGUUUCCAUCUCUGCUCCAGUAUGUCCUGGGAAUGUGUGGCAGGACUCUCCGCUUCUUCCUGGGAAGCCUGUGGGUGGAACUGGAGCUGGUUUGCCCCUUCCAAAACCUGCCUCAAGGCUUCUUGUGUUUAUUAAACAUCAUCCCGUGUCUGUAUCCUGGGUAUUGUCUUUAGUGCUCUGCUGGCCAUGGGCUCUCGCACUGGUUCUGUGCUUCUGGCUGUGCCCCACAAGUGCUGCUGUUACCCCAAACACAGCAGAAACAACUGUUAGUUGUGGUUCCACUCGACAAGGCAACCUCUAAUUUGGGAUCCCAGCAACAGAAUAACAGAAACUGUCCCUGCUGGGGCUGGGCCUUUGCCGUGGGUUAAUAACCUCGCAGGGCCGGGACCCAAGGGCUCGCAAAAACUCAGAGGGGAGGCUGAAAUGAGCUCUUAGGCAGAAGCUCUUCCCUGUGAGGGUGCUGAGGCG
rnacentral:lncRNA from 14 species